AGGUGAGAGGAGGGAAGGGUGAUGUGGAGGAUGGACUGGGGUGUUUGCUGCAAGGUGGGUAGCUGAGGGUUGGUUCAGGUGUUUGGCAUUGGUUGGGAUCCAAUAGCUGUUGUCUGAGAGUCUGCUCGUCAUCUCUUCCUGCUGAGGCUGGUGGGACUGAACUGACCUUCAUAUCUCAGCGAUGAGUCCUGUAGACUGCAGGCUCCACGGCAGUUGCAGCUCCCAGGGCUUCAGAUUGGAGCUGCCUGUGACAUGCAGAGGUGGAAGCACAGCCUCAGCUGUGGUGGACGGCAGCCUCUUUCAGCCCCCAGGUGCAUAACAAAGGCUGUCUUGAUUGUAUCUGUGAGAGUGCCAUGAUUUGGGGUUUUCUCUGUCGGUUUGGACCAGAUCAGAAAGCAAUUGGGACUAUUGUGUCUCUCAUGGAAACCCAAG
rnacentral:lncRNA from 1 species